rnacentral:RNase_P_RNA from 1 species
CGUGCAAGUCGGCUUGUCGCUCCAUUCCUUUUGGAUUGGGGAGGAAAGUCCGGGCAACAUAGAGCGCCAUACUUCCUAACGGGAAGGAUGCUGAUCUCCAAGGAUCAGUAGACAGACAGUGCCACAGAAAACAAACCUCCAUUUGGCACAGGGCCCGCCCUGAGCCUGUCAAAUGGGAAGGGUGAAAAGGUGGAGUAAGAGCCCACCGCCCCGACAGUGAUGAAGGGGGCACGGCAAACCUUAUGGGUUGAAAGAUCAAAUAGGCCUCGGGCAAAGAGCUGCUCGUUCGAUUUCUUCCGAUGCUAUCGGGAGGAUUCCGGGGUGGGUAGAUCGAUGGAUCCUGACUGUGAAGUCAGGGCUAGAUAAAUGACAGGCACCUUUAUCGAUUUAUCGAAAAAGGACACAGAACCCGGCUUACAGACUUGCACUUUUU